rnacentral:lncRNA from 1 species
CCAACACAAGCAAACUCAACAUCAACAAUGUCGACAAAGUCUAGCAUUACCGUCCUUGCCUUUGCCUUUUGUUUCUUGUCCCUCCUCAGUUUCGCUUACUCCAACACCACCGACGACAAAAUCUCUACCUCACCGGCCUGGUCUACUGUGACAACUGCCAAUUGAAGUCUAUGACCGAGAUGAGUAAGAUGAUAAGAUUUGAAUAUGAGAUUUAUGCAUGCAUGCAUGCACAUUGCCCAUUGAUCAGGUGCACAUCUUUUUAUCUUUUACUUUACUAAUUCUUAAUUAAGAUUCAAUUUAGGACCUAUUUAAAGAGAAGAAAAAUACGAUUUAAAAUAUAUCUUAUAACCUAAUAAUCUCCUAAUCAAAAUAUUAAACUUUUAAAAUGUCACAUAUCAAUUUAGCCCUUAAUUAUACUAAGCUUAAAUUCCAUGGUCCAUACUAGUUUGAUUUUUAUUUUUUAUUUUGGUGUGAAAAUUUGGUAUUUUCUUUAAAAUAAUGUGCUUGAUAGCGUGAAAGUAGCAAAUAAAUAAUGAUGUGUUCAAAUUGGAUUUGAACACACAUCACAACCCAUAUCAUCAUUAAGGCCCUAAAAAUUAAAUCAUUAUGUGCUUGGUUAAUACGUUAAGUAGUUUAUGAAGUGAUUAAGAUCAAAGAGGAUCCAUGACUUGUAAUGGAUCACUUGUUCAUUUACUUAAAAAUAAAUAAAUAAAUAAAUAAAAGCAAAGGACCCACUAGUGUAGUGGUUUGGAGUAUUUACUCCCUUAGGUAAGGUCCUGGGUUCGAGUCCUAGCAUCCGUGUUGUGUGUGUGAGUUUAAUAUGCUAUCGCCCCUUUCAAUAGGAAAGGACCUCAAAAAAAAAAAAAAUAAAUAAAUAAAUAAACUCGCAAUACCGACUCCAUUCGUAAUUCCAUCAAUUACGCGACCAAAACUUCGUCGCUCAAAGUCUUGCGCGACGAAAAACAAUUCGUAGCGCAAAGUCACUUCGCGCGACAAACUUUUGCGCGACGACAAUACAUCGUCGCUCAAAGUCUUGCGCGACCAAAUUUUGCUCGACGAAAAAAAUUCGUCGCGCAAAGUCACUUCGCGAGACAAACUUUUGCGCGACAACAAUACAUCGUCGCUCAAAGUGACUUUGCGCGACGAAACAAUGAACUUCGUCGCGCAAAGUCCUUAUAAAAAUAAAAUAUAUAUAUUUUAAAAUCUUUGCAUGACGUAAUCCAAAUAUUUCGUCGCCUAAACUAAUUUAUUUUUGUUUUUUAUUUUGUAUGCAUAACACUUAAGAAAUUAAACAGUAUAUAUAUUUAUUAAGUAGCUUUAAAUUUAUUAUUUUAGAUCAGAUCGGAUUUUUGUUAGAAAAAUAUAUUAUUGUUGUUCAGAUUGGGUUUUUGUUAGAAAAUAUAUAUUUUAAAUUGACGAUCGAAUUAGUUCAUUGUAUUCAUAUAUGGUCAAGGAGUGUAGCUAUAAAAAGCAUCAAAAUUGGAGUUAAAAUAACCGUUAAAUCGUGAUUUUUCAUUAUAACCGUCGAAAAGUUUUGUCCCAUUACUUGAUCUCUGAAUGUUUAUUUUUUCUGAUUUUUGGCGUAUAUGAUCUCGAAGUAUAAACAAACAAGUUUGACGGUUGGAUCGUUGAAACUAGUUUUGGUGAAUGCAUAUGCCAUCAAAACAAUAUAUUCACUAACAGUUAAGAGUUUAUUUAUACGUUCGUUAAAUAUAACAUAAGAUUUUGUGGUAUCCACUAGUGUAAAUAUUUUAAAUUGAAGAUCAAAUUCAGUCGUUGUAUUCACAUAGGGUCAAGGAGUGUAGCUGUAAAAAAUCAUCAAAAUCGGAGUUAAAAUAACCGUUAAAUCGUGAUUUUUCAUUAUAACCGUCGAAAAGUUUUGUCCCAUUACUUGAUCUCUGAAUGUUUAUUUUUUCCGAUUUUUGGCGUAUAUGAUCUCGAAGUAUAAACAAACAAGUUUGACGAUUGGAUCAUUGAAACUAGUUUUGGUGAAUGCAUAUGCCAUCAAAACAAUAUAUUCACUAACAAUUAAGAGGUUAUUUAUACGUUCGUUAGAUAUAACAUAAGAUUUUGUGGUAUCCACUAGUGUAAAUAUUUUAAAUUGAAGAUCAAAUUCAAUCAUUGUAUUCAUAUAUGGUCAAGGAGUGUAGCUGUAAAAAAAAUCAUCAAAAUCGGAGUUAAAAUAACCGUUAAAUCGUAAUUUUUCAUUUAUAACCAUCGAAAAGUUUUGUCUCGUUACUAGAUCUCUGAAUGUUUGUUUUUUGCGAUUUUUGGGGUAUACGAUCUUGAAGUAUAUACAAAUAAGUCUGACGGUUGGAUCGUUGAAUGGUGUGUGUAUAUAUAUUUAUUUAUUAAGUAGCUUUAAAUUUAUUUAUUUUGUACGUAUAACACUUAAGAAAUUGAAUAGUAUAUAUAUUUAUUAAGCAGCUUUAACCUUAUUUAUAUUUUAAAUUGUAAAAUAAAAUAAUUUUAUUUUUAUUAUUCCUAACAAUUAUUUUUAUAAAUAUUGUGUUACGAACCAAUUUUUCGUCUCUCAAAAGUUUGCGCAACCAACAGUUUGUCGCGCAAAACUCUAAAAAUUUGGACGGGUACCAAAAAUGGGACGCGGGAUUUUUAAAAAAAAUAAAAAAAAUUUAGACUUUGUGCGACCAAUAUUUUUUGUCGCUCAAAACUUUGCGCGACCAAUAUAUAUUUUUCGUCUCUCAAAAAUUUGGGCAGGUACCAAAAAUGGGAAGCGGGAAUUUUUUUAGACUUUGCGCGACUAGUAUGUAUUUUUCGUCGUGCAAAAAUUUAAAAAUUUUGGCAGGUACCAAAAAUGGGACGCGGGGAUUUUUAUUUUUUUAAAUAAUUUUUUUAGACUUUGCGCGACCAAUAUUCCUAUAUUCGUCGCGCAAAAAUUUAAAAAUUUUGGCGGGUACCGAAAAUGGGACGCGGGGAUUUUUAUUUUUUUAAAUAAUUUUUUUAGACUUUGCGCGACCAAUAUUCCUAUAUUCGUCGCGCAAAAAUUUAAAAAUUUUGGCGGGUACCGAAAAUGGGACGCGGGGAUUUUUAUUUUUUUAAAUAAUUUUUUUAGACUUUGCGCGACCAAUAUUCCUAUAUUCGUCGCGCAAAAAAUUAAAAAUUUUGGCUGGUACCAAAAAUGGGACGCGGGGAUUUUUAUUUUUUUAAAUAAUUUUUUUAGACUUUGCGCGACCAAUAUUCCUAUAUUCGUCGCGCAAAAAUUUAAAAAUUUUGGCGGGUACCAAAAAUGGGACGCGGGGAUUUUUAUUUUUUUAAAAUAUUUUUUUUAGACUUUGCGCGACCAAUAUUCCUAUAUUCGUCGCGCAAAAAUUUAAAAAUUUUGGGGGGUACCAAAAAUGGGACGCGGGGAUUUUUAUUUUUUUAAAAUAAUUUUUUUAGACUUUGCGCGACCAAUAUUCCUAUAUUCGUCGCGCAAAAAUUUAAAAAUUUUGGCGGGUACCAAAAAUGGGACGCGGGGAUUUUUAUUUUUUUUAAAUAAUUUUUUUAGACUUUGCGCGACCAAUAUUCUUAUAUUCGUCGCGCAAAACUUUGCGCGACCAAUAUGUUUCGUCGGGCAAAAGUUUGCGCGAUCAAUAUUCCAAUAUUUUUCGUCGCACAAACCUUUGCGCGACCAACAAUAUUUUUCGUCGCGCAAAGUGAUACGGUUUUUAAAACCGAAAUAACUCAUCCACCAUUUUCUCAAUGCCUUUCUCUACUCUUACCUCUCCUUUCUCUUUCCCUCUCCCCAAAUCCCACCAUUUCUCUCACUUACUCCUCUCACUUAAUCUCUCAUCUCUCUCUCACUCACUCUCUCAUCUCUCUCACUCACUCUCUCAUCUCUCUAUCACUAUCUUCUCUAAUUCUCUCACACUCACUUCUCCCUCUCAUUCUCAUUCACUCUCAAUCUUGCCAAAAGGUAUAUUCUCUCCAAAUUUUAAAUUUUUUUCAUUAAUAUGUGUUUUUGGAGUUAAUUUUGAGUUUGUGUGGGUUUUAGGGUUGAGUAAAGGGGAGGGAUUGGAGUUUGGGUUGGAUUUGUGGUAUAACAAUUUUAGGGGAGAUUAUGCCUUCUUUUUUUUUUUUUUUGUGGUUAUUUGACCAUAUUUAUUUUUUUUGUAGGGAAUCAUCGAGACUUUGACGGCUAAAGUUGAGGAUUAGGAAGCUAUCAAAACAUCUCCUCUGCCACUACCACCACAAUACGCUUGUAUUAGGGUUUUAUUAUUGUACUUUGUUAAUUUAUGUGAACAUUUUGAAUAUUAUAUAUAUAUAUAUAUUUAUUGGAUAAUUU